rnacentral:rRNA from 1 species
UCCUACGGGGGGCAGCAGUAGGGAAUAUUGCACAAUGGGCGAAAGCCUGAUGCAGCAACGCCGCGUGUGCGAUGAAGGCCUUCGGGUCGUAAAGCACUUUUCUGAGAGAUGAGAAAGGACAGUAUCUCAGGAAUAAGUCUCGGCUAACUACGUGCCAGCAGCCGCGGUAAAACGUAGGAGGCGAGCGUUAUCCGGAUUCACUGGGUGUAAAGCGCGUGCAGGCGGUUCGGUAAGUUGGGCGUGAAAUCUCCCGGCUCAACUGGGAGAGGUCGUUCAAUACUACCGGGCUUGAGAGCAGUAGAGGAAGAUGGAAUUCCCGGUGUAGUGGUGAAAUGCGUAGAUAUCGGGAGGAACACCAGUGGCGAAGGCGAUCUUCUGGACUGUUUCUGACGCUCAGACGCGACAGCUAGGGUAGCAAACGGGAUUAGAUACCCGUGUAGUCCA